GUACUGAAACGUACAUCUGAAGGAGGAUUUAGCAGUAAGCAGGAAAUAGAGCGUCCCGCUGAAAUUGGCCCUGAAGCGCGCACACACCGCCCGUCACUCUCCCCAAAACCACCCAAUCAGUUAAUUAAAACCCAAUAACCAGAAAGGGGAGGCAAGUCGUAACAUGGUAAGUGUACCGGAAGGUGCACUUGGAAAAAUC
rnacentral:rRNA from 1 species